CCUACGGGAGGCAGCAGUGAGGAAUAUUGGUCAAUGGACGAGAGUCUGAACCAGCCAAGUAGCGUGAAGGAUGACUGCCCUAUGGGUUGUAAACUUCUUUUAUAUGGGAAUAAAACGUUCCACGUGUGGGAUUUUGUAUGUACCAUAUGAAUAAGGAUCGGCUAACUCCGUGCCAGCAGCCGCGGUAAUACGGAGGAUCCGAGCGUUAUCCGGAUUUAUUGGGUUUAAAGGGAGCGUAGGUGGAUUGUUAAGUCAGUUGUGAAAGUUUGCGGCUCAACCGUAAAAUUGCAGUUGAAACUGGCAGUCUUGAGUACAGUAGAGGUGGGCGGAAUUCGUGGUGUAGCGGUGAAAUGCUGAGAUAUCACGAAGAAAUCCGAUUGCGAAGGCAGUUCACUGGACUGCAACUGACACUGAGGCUCGAAAGUGUGGGUAUCAAACAGGAUUAGAUACCCUGGUAGUC
rnacentral:rRNA from 1 species